AUCCACACAUCCACAGCAUGCGCAGUGAGGAGGGGGGGAUGAGUUGCCUCCGCCGCCAGCCCCGCUCUCCGGCGACGGCGCCCAUGGAUGAUGAGAACCUGCUCUCCGAGAUCCUCCUCCGCCUCCCCCCGCUGCCGUCCUCCCUCCCCCGCGCCUCCGCCGUCUGCAGGCGCUGGCGCCUCCUCGUCUCCGACCCAGGAUUCUCCCGCCGCUUCCGCAUCCACCACCGCCGCAACCCUCCCCUCCUCGGUUUCUUUGAUGACCUAUUAUCCUUCGUACCUACUCUGGAGGCCCCUAAUCGUGUCCCUCCGGAGCGAUUCUCCUUCGAGGACGACGGCGGCCGUCGCUCCGUGAUCCUCGGAUGCCGCCAUGGCCUAGCACUCUUCUUCCUCCCAUCUUCGAACCAGAUCCUGGUGUGGGAUUCUGUCACCUCCGACCAGCACCGCGUUGCCGUUCCUCCAGAGUUUGAGAGAGAUGGAUUGCAGAUCAUAAUCCAGGGGGCGGUGCUUCCGGUGGCUGCCGGAGAGGUUCACUUCCGAGUGGUCUUGACAGUGGUGGACUUCGAGGACAAACGAGCCCUCGCCCGUGUUUACUCCUCAGCGACCGGCAUAUGGUGUUGCUUCAUGGGUGCUAGGAAGUUCAACUCAGAGAAGAAGCGACCCUUAGUGAUAAUGGGGUAUGCUGAGGAGAAUAAUGUUGUGUUCCUGAAGACACCGGUCGGCCUCUUCAUGAUCCAUCUUGAGUCAUUUCAGUUCAAGAAACUUCUUCGGACCAAAAUUUAUCCUUAUUAUUAUCCAUUCGAAAGCGUCUGCAUUGCAGGUAAUAACAUGCCUUCACAUAUCAGUUGCAACAAAACCAUAUCUAUUUUCUAUAAUUUGUUGACGGCAAUACGGUUCACAUCCUUUCGUGUUAAGUUAACAAUUUUAAGUGCUGUCAUAUCACUUGUUUUGUUUGCUGCUUGAUGACUUAAUCAACAUAUAGCGAUUUUGUUUCUGUACUAUCUCUGUUCCGAUUCUUGUGUGGUGGUGUUUUAUGUAAUGAUUAUGGUUCGUAGAAAAAAGAUCUGUUGUUGGCGCAUAUUUUGUUAUAUGCUCUGCAGCCAAGCGGAGGGCUGCAAUUCAUUUAUUGUUCACCCGCAAAAAAAAAAUCAUUUAUUGUUAGCUUAAUUUCUGUAAUUUUUGUUGUUCAAGUCAGAGCUAGCAAACUGUCUUUAUUAAGUUUAUUAUAUGAAUACUUGUUGAAUAAAACAAUGAAUGCCAAGAUUGGCAAAUGGUUUCUUUAGAACUAUGUUUCACUGCUUUGUGCCUAUUAACACAUGCAAGAAUUGUAAAAUGGUAGUUUUAGUGCAUAGCUCCAGUUUUUUUUCCCUAAAGAUAAAGUAUAUGACACUUGGAAGCUGAAGACAACUACUUGAGAAACUUGCUUGUGAACUGAAAUAGCUCAGUCGAUACAGUUGGAAGCUUAAAGCUCAUUCUGUUUCCUUCUUUCAAUAUUUAGUAUCUCUGUUAGAAGACAGUUUGGAUUAUCCCUUUUCAAUAUUUAGCAUCUCUGUUGGAUGACAGUUGGAAGCUUAAAGCUCACUCUAUUUCCUUCUUUCAAUAUUUAGUGUCUCUGUUGGAAGAUAUUUCCUUCUUUCAGUAUUUAGUAUAUCUGUUUGAAGAUAAUCCAAAUCUGAGCUUAAAGCUCAUUCUAUUUCCUUCUUUCAUUCUGUGAACUGAUUAUAUUUUUUCAGGCUAAAUCAAUUUGAAGAUGAUCCAAAUCUGAAUAGUCCUGAUCACUUUUGUUGCUAAGAUUUAUUAGUGUGAUUAUAUUUUAUUUAUUCUGAUGUAGCGUGGACUUGAGCUUAAUAAUUCUGGAUAGCCUUUUCUGACCAUCUAAUGUCUGAGUACAUCUUCAUUUUCAAGAUAGUAACCAGCUUAUAUUUUUUUCAGAAUAUUCACUUUUAAGAUAGUGAGCAUCUUCUUCACUUUUAUGGUAGUAUAAUCAGCUUAUACUAUUUUCGGAAUUUUCAUUAAAUUCAUACUAAUCUUGUAUAAAACUGAUUCUUUUCAAACUACAACAAAGUUUAUCUAAACAUCUUGCUCAUGCCUCCUCGUAUCCAUUUGGCUUUUUGUUGGAAUGGCAUUGGUUGUUUUGCCUUCUUAUGCUUCCAGAAACAGACAUUCGUGGUGGACGUGAUGGAACUGAUCUUUUGCACAAUACAUAAGAUGGUUAUCUGGUUAAAUAUGCUGUCGUGAUGUACUGGUUGAGCAGGUAUCUAGGAUUAAGUUCUGGUUGGCUAAAGAUGCAGAAAUGGGUUGUGUGCUGUAGGUUCUUCCAUUUUGUAUGCUGUGCACGGGGUCUGUGAUUGUGCCCCACUCAGAAAUUGGCCCUCUGUACUGGUCAGUUGUGAAGUAUGAUUUGUAGGAACUAAUCGCUUAGUUUGCAACAUACCGUCCGUUAUCCAAGCUCUGUAUGAGGACACAGUGAACUGCUUGGAUUAAUGACUAGUGUUGGCCAUGUCGGUCACUCUUGUGGUUUUUU